AUUGAACGCUGGCGGCAUGCUUUACACAUGCAAGUCGAACGGUAACAGGUUAAGCUGACGAGUGGCGAACGGGUGAGUAAUGCAUCGGAACGUGCCCGAUCGUGGGGGAUAACGUAGCGAAAGUUACGCUAAUACCGCAUACGAUCUGAGGAUGAAAGCGGGGGACCGUAAGGCCUCGCGCGAUCGGAGCGGCCGAUGUCAGAUUAGGUAGUUGGUGGGGUAAAGGCCCACCAAGCCGACGAUCUGUAGCUGGUCUGAGAGGACGACCAGCCACACUGGGACUGAGACACGGCCCAGACUCCUACGGGAGGCAGCAGUGGGGAAUUUUGGACAAUGGGCGCAAGCCUGAUCCAGCAAUGCCGCGUGCAGGAAGAAGGCCUUCGGGUUGUAAACUGCUUUUGUACGGAGCGAAAAGGCUCUCUCUAAUACAGGGGGCUCAUGACGGUACCGUAAGAAUAAGCACCGGCUAACUACGUGCCAGCCGCCGCCGUAACAC
rnacentral:rRNA from 1 species